ACGGAAGGCAGCAGUGGGGAAUAUUGGACAAUGGGCGCAAGCCUGAUCCAGCGACGCCGCGUGAGUGAAGAAGUAUUUCGGUAUGUAAAGCUCUAUCAGCAGGGAAGAUAAUGACGGUACCUGACUAAGAAGCCCCGGCUAACUACGUGCCAGCAGCCGCGGUAAUACGUAGGGGGCAAGCGUUAUCCGGAUUUACUGGGUGUAAAGGGAGCGUAGACGGUAUGGCAAGUCUGAUGUGAAAACCCAGGGCUCAACCCUGGGACUGCAUUGGAAACUGUCAAACUAGAGUGCAGGAGAGGUAAGUGGAAUUCCUAGUGUAGCGGUGAAAUGCGUAGAUAUUAGGAGGAACACCAGUGGCGAAGGCGGCUUACCGGACUGUAACUGACGUUGAGGCUCGAAAGCGUGGGGAGCAAACAGGAUUAGAUACCCUGGUA
rnacentral:rRNA from 1 species